CUUUUCUUUCUUUUUUCUUUUUCUUUUUUUUGAGACGAAAAGGAGAUAAACAGGUGUUGUCCGUGUUAACAGACCAGGUGAUUUUUCUCCCAGGGACAGAAGGAAGCCUCUCUGGAGUCCCCGGGGCCAACUAACUGAAAUGAGCCUCUGGUUGCACUUGGGCCCCUGUGGUGUGACAGCGCUCUGGGCAUCAUUUACAGGGCACCGUGCACUUGGCUUUGUUAGGAUUGUGGGAAACGUUUUCUGAGGUCAGGUUUAAUUAGUUUACAUCUGGCUGGGGUCUCACAGGUUCCCAGGUCUACAUCCUCUCGAAUCAACAUCCUUUUAAAAAUAGAACAGGGAGUUCCCUUGCGGUGCAGUGGUAUUGCAGUGUAGUGGUUCUGGUCACUGCUGUGGGAAGGGUUUGAUCCCUGGCCUGGGGACUUCCACAUGCAGUGGGUGUGGCCUAAAAAAAAAACCACCAAAAAACCAAGUUUUUAUAAUUUUCCUUGUUCUUAUUCUGAAAGGAAAGUCAUAGAAAACACAUAACCUUCCUACACACUGGUUGCAAUAAAAAAAAUCAAUAUAAUACCCGAACUGUAACAUCAAGGAAAAGUCAUUUAAAAUAAAGCAGUAUAGAUUUCAAAAGGUAAAUGUUUGGGUCUGCACCCUGGAUGACACAGUGAAGGAGUCAGCCUCUUGCACCCAGAUGGGGAAUCACAGUGACGCGCGUGUGUCGCAGGGAGGCUCAAACCCCGUGGAACUCUUGCCACUGGGGAUGGGAUUUUCCAAAAUGGUGAACAGCUCUUAGUCAAGUGACCAUCUGCCCUUGACGGCAUGGUGGCUGCCUUCCCAGAAUAUGCAAUGCGUAGUCCAGCUGUACCAAAGACAGAAGGCGGAGUUGAUUCUAGACCUGUCAAUUGCAAAAGGGCUUUUCAUUUACAAGCAUGAAGCUCUGGUGGGACAUCAGAAAGUAGAGGGAUUGGGGAAAGGCUUCACUUUGGGGGGCUCUCCUGCUCAUGGAACACCUGCAGAUUUCAGAGCACGCCCUGGGCCAGCACUGCUCGCUGGAGGACCCCUGAUCUUUGGGGCCCUCAGCUUUUAAGGUGAGGCUGAGCGAGGGGGCUUGCGUGUGUCACAAGGCUGUGCAGCAGCAGAGCUGAGCACUGGGCUGGGAAGGGGUGAUGCUCAAAUGGGGGGGGGGCUGUCGCCUUUGCCCAGGACUGUUUGCCAUCCAGCAUCCCAUCUUUCCUGCUGAGGGAGAUGGGGGCUGGAAGACAGAAAGCUUUACAACCUAAAGAGUCACCUGACCUCUCAUCCUAGAGGGAGGAAAAGGAAGCCUCACUUGACCACCAUGGAGUGUCUGGAGCACAUGCUUCGAAGUUAGAUGGCCCUGGGUCUGAGCCUGGCUCCGGUGUCAGCUGUCCAUGGGCUCGUGGACCGAUGCUUAAUUUCUCCCUGAGCCUCAGUUUUCUCAUCUGUAAAAUGGAGGCAAUAAUAUGACCCCUCCCCCUUCUCGGGUGGUUGAAAGUACUUAGAUGCAUGUAAGAUGCUUACUUAGCCCAGCACCUAGUGGCAGGAAAAGUCCUGUUCAGUGAUAACGGGACAAAAGCCUCAGCCUGGGGAGAGGGGAGCAGAGAAAAUCCCUUUUCAGUUAAUUCUCCACUUUUACGUUCGGUUUACAAUUCAGUGGUUUUUAUGGUGUUCAUCGAGGUGGAGGGCCGUCAUCACUACCUACCUCCAGCAUAGUUGUAUCACCAAAAAGAAGUCUCGAACCCUUCUUGGUUAUCCCUCCCUCCUCUUCCCUUCAGGCCCCGGUCACCCCGUGACUGUGGAUUUGCCUGUUCUGGGCAUUCAUACAAACGGAGUCAUAGGACAAGCGGUCCGGUGUGACCGGCUUCCACUCGGCGUGAUGCUUUCCAGGUUCGUCUAUACUGUAGCACAUAGCAGGGCUUCGUUCCUCUUCAUGGCUGCAUAACAUUCCGUUGUUUGCACGGACCACAGUUUACUUUUCACUCCUCCAUCGGUGGACAUUUGUUUUUUCCCCCUCUUGUGGGCUAUUAUGAGUAAUGCUCCAUUUCUGGGCACCAGCCAGCCCCUGGCACAUCGUAGCUGCUGAAUGAGAGCUAGUGGAAAUUUUUCUGAAUCUGGGUCUUGUUUUGCAUGAAAGGACAUGAAAGAGACAGGCCUGGCUUUGGAUUCUGAUUCCAUAUCCGUCACCACGUCCCUUGGCCUCUCUGCAUUUGUUUCCUCCCAAUGCGAACGGAUGACCAUGAGGAAUCGGGACAGUAUUUGCACUUGACCAGCACAUAGUAGGCAGUCCACUGUCUCUCUGUCAUUUCAAGCCCACCCUUUGAUGCCUGCCUUAACAGGAUCUAGCAGGGUCUGGUCCAGGCUGUGCGAGAGCUGGCUUGUGCUGGCUCAUGAGAGCCUGCUGUGCGAAUCUCCUGCCAGCUCUGCAGUCGUUGACCUUGCACCGGUCGCUUGAAAUCAGCUGGAGUGAGCGUAUUCACACCCCGGAAAUCAGCAAACCUUCGGUGAGGGCUUCCCCCCAGUGGAGAGCCGCUGUCCACAUCAACAAGCACAGCACAGGUUCUGGUGGGUUCUGUCAAGCUGGGCUGAGUGGCAACAGGCCAGAGAGAUCAGGGGAGGGUCAGGUGGGACCACCAGGGCCUAAAUCCCACGGUGCUGGAGCAGGUGUGGAUUUCGGCACACCAGCCCCACCCACUCCUGGCUGCCCCUCUCUCCAUGUCCUCAGUGCCCCCUACUUCCCUGGAGCCCAGCGUGGCCAGCAGGACCUGGGGCGAGGCCUGCUGGUGUGUGGGGGUGUCCAUCUGGGGAAAGCUUUCCUCCCCAACAAAAAGCGAUGCCAAUGCUAAUAAGAAGUGAAGGCGCAAGUAGACAUUUCUGCAGAGAAGACACACAGAUGGCCUGUAGACACAUGAAAAGAUGCUCACUAUUGCCAAUUAUCGGAGAAAUGCAAGUCAGAAGUACCACGAGGUAUCGCCUCACACCAGCCAGAAUGUCCAUCGUCAGAAGGUCUACAAACAACAAAUGCUGGAGAAGGUGUGGAGAAAAGACACCUUCCUACACUGCUGGUGGGGAUGUAAACGCAUGCAGCCACUGUGGAGGUUCCUAAAAGCGAAACACGGAGUUGCUGUAUGAUCCUGCAAUCCCACUGCUGGCCACCCAUCCGGAAAAGACAAAAACUGUAAUUUGAAAAGAUGCAUGUAUCCCAAGGUGCCUUUCAAAGCACACAGAAGACUUAAAAAAAAAAAAAGAGUUUUAAAAGAGUUAAUUUGAAAAGAUACAGGCACCCUUAUGGUCAUAGCAGCACAAUCUAUACGAGCCAAGACAUGGAAGAAACCUAAGUGCCCAUCAGCGGAUGAACUGAUAAAGAGCAUGGGGUAUAUGUACACAACGGAGUAUUGAUCAACCAUAGAAAGAGCGAAAUACUGCCUUUUGCAACAACGUGGAUGGACUUAGAGUUGAUCAUACCAAGUCAGAUAGAGAAAGACAAAUAUAUGAUAUCACUUAUAUGUGGAAUCUAAAAAAAAAAAGUGCAGAUCAACUUAUUUACAAAACAGAAACAGACUCACAGACAUGGAAUGAAAACCUGGUCGUUGACGGAGAAAGGGGAGUGGGGGAUAAAUAGGAGUCUGGGAUGAGCAGAUACACGCUACUCUUUGUAAAACAGGUGGAAAGGUCCUGCUGUAUAGCACAGGAACCGCGUUCACUAUCUUGUAAUAACUGGCCAUGGAAAAGAAUCGCAAGCUCUAUGCCUGGCGCUAACCCAAUACUGUAAAUCAACUACAGCUGAAUUUUUUAAAACGAUGCAAAUUAGGAGCUGUCUCCCUCUUUGAGCACUUACGUGUCCACACAGACACCUGGAACUGCGGCGCUGACCACGUGGAAAGCAGGCCCGUGUGCCAGGAAUGGGGAGGGGGGGGCAGAAAGAGUUUGGAUCCCCAGGAGCAUUGCUGCGGCUGCAGACCAGCCCUGGACCUGCCUGCCUUGGGACGGCUCACCAACAUUUGUAAAAAUACUUUGUUGUUUAAGCCAUUGGUGGUCAAAUAUUCUAUUACCCGCAGCCCAAACCAUCCCAAUACAGACGCCAGCAGAGGAAAAUACUGGAGUUCCAAAGAGACAAGAGGGCAAAUUCAGAAGGAUCAGCCUAAGACGGAGAAGGUGGGGAAUACACCCUGGGGGCAGGGAAGUGGAAAAAGUCUUAGAAAAAAAAAAAUAGGCUUAACUAAAACAGACCCCCAAAGAAAUAGAAAGUCUGAAGAGUCCUCCUCCCAGUAAUGAAAUUGAACGGUAAUCUAAGAUCUUCCCACAAAGAAAACACCGGGGAGUCCCAGCUGUUGCUCAGCUGGUUAAGGAUCCAACGCAGUGUCUGUGAGGGUGUGGGUUCCAUCCCUGGCCUUCUCGGCAGGUUUAAGCAUCUGGCAUCGCCACACGCUGCGGUGUAGGUCACAGAUAUGGCUUGGAUCCACGUGGCUGUGGCUGUGGUGUAGGCCUCAGUUGCAGCUCCAAUUCAGCCCCUAGCCCAGGAACUUCCAAAUGCUGCAGGUGUGGCCUUAAAAAGAAAUAAAUCAAUAGAAAACACCAGGCCCAGUGAGUUCUACCAAACAUUUAAAGUCUAUCGUUCUAGGGAGUUUCCGUUGUGGUGCAGUGGCAACAAAUCCGAUUAGUAUCCACGAGGACACAGGUUUGACCCCUGGCCUCGCUCAGUGGCUUAAAGGUCUGGUGUUGCCGUGAGCUGUGGUGUCAGUCACAGCUGCGGCUCGGAUCCUGUGUUGCUGUGGUGUAGGCUGGCCCCUGUAGCUCCCAUCCGACCCCUAGCCUGCUGGUGUGGCCCUAAAAAGCAGAAAACGAAAACAAACAAAAAACCCCCAAAACUUAAAGUCUGUCAUGCUAGCCUCACGAAAACUUUUCCAAGGAAUGAAAAAGAAGGAAUAUUUCUGAACUCCGUCUAUAGGGCCAGUAUGAAUAGUCUUGAGGCCAAAACCUGAACAAGAAUAGCGUUAGAACAGAUAAUCAUAGGUCGAAAUCACCCGUAGAAAUGGACACAAAAAUCUUACAUGCAAUAUUAGCAAUUCCAGUCUUCAGUGUGUGAAAACAUAAUAUAUCAUGACAAACGUAAAUUUAUGCCAGGAAUGCAAAAAUGAUGUACCGUCAGAGAACCUGUGUCAUCCAUCACGCUGACAGAUUAAAGGAGGAGCAAACCACUCCAUCCUCCUCACAGAUGCAGAAAGAGCACGGAGAAACAUCCUUUUCUCAUAAAAAGUCUUGAAAGGAGUUCCUGUCGUGGCGCAGCGGAAACGAAUCCGUCUAGGAGCCAUGAGGUUGCGGGUUCGAUCCCUGACCGUGCUCAGUGGGUGAAGGAUCCGGUGUUGUCGUGAGCUGUGGUGUAGGUCGCAGACACGGCUCAGGUCUGGCUGUGGUGUAGGCCGGCGGCUGCAGCUCUGAUUCGACCCCUAGCCUGGGAACCUCCGUAUGCCACAGGUACCGCUCUGAAAGCAAAAAAAUAAAAUAUCUUAAAAGAUUAGCAACAAAAUUAAACUUUCUUAAUAUUGUAAGUUGGUCUACCAAAAUGCUACAGUAAAUACCGUUUUUGAUGGUGCACAGUCAGAGUAGAGCCUUUACAAUCAGGAAGAAGGCGAAGGCGGCUUUCUCUCUGCUUCUGGUUAACGUACUGGAGGAGCUCCCAGCAUAGGAAAAUAAGAAAAGGAAUGUUUAUUGGGGUUGGAAAGAACGGAACAACGUGAUCAUUUACUCUCAGAUGUUAUGACUACAUUAAAAAAAAAAAGCUUGAAC
rnacentral:lncRNA from 1 species